rnacentral:rRNA from 1 species
UACGUAGGGCGCGAGCGUUGUCCGGAAUUAUUGGGCGUAAAGAGCUCGUAGGCGGCCUGUUGCGUCCGCUGUGAAAUCCCAGGGCUCAACCCUGGGCGUGCAGUGGAUACGGGCAGGCUGGAGGCAGGCAGGGGAGAACGGAAUUCCUGGUGUAGCGGUGAAAUGCGUAGAUAUCGGGAGGAACACCAGUGGCGAAGGCGAUCACCUGGGGUUGUUCUGACGCUGAGGAGCGAAAGCUAGGGGAGCAAACGGG